GAUGAACGCUAGCUACAGGCUUAACACAUGCAAGUCGAGGGGUAACGAGAGGAAAGCUUGCUUUCCUUGUCGACGACCGGCGCACGGGUGAGUAACGCGUAUCCAACCUGCCCCCAACUAGGGAAUAACCUUGCGAAAGUAAGACUAAUACCCUAUAAUUUCCUCAGAUGUCAUCUGACGAGGAAUAAAGAUUUAUCGGUUGUGGAUGGGGAUGCGUCUGAUUAGCUUGUUGGCGGGGUAACGGCCCACCAAGGCAACGAUCAGUAGGGGUUCGAAGAGGAAAGGCCCCCACACUGGAACUAAGACACGGUCCAAACUCCUACGGGGGGCAGCAGUGAGGAAUAUUGGUCAAUGGGCGUAAGCCGGAACCAGCCAAGUAGCGUGCAGGAUGACGGCCCUAUGGGUUGUAAACUGCUUUUAUACAGGAAUAAAGUUAGCCACGUGUGGUUAUUUGUAGGUACUGUAUGAAUAAGGACCGGCUAAUUCCGUGCCAGCAGCCGCCGUAA
rnacentral:rRNA from 1 species